CAAUUGAUGCUUAAACAGUUGGUUCUGGCAUAUAUGCAUAGUAUUCCAAGUUUUGGCAGCAUCCCAAAUGCUUUGUCCAAUUUGCUUUCUAAUAUCAAGUUGAUAUUUGGGAAGUUUCAACUUCCAGAAAUCAUUUUGAUGAUACCAGUAACCCUGAAGACAAAUCUCUGUAGUUUUUGCUCCUGAAGGCUAACUUAGGCACUGACAAAUCUCAAUAUAUUGCCUAUAUUUCUCCAAUAUUGCCAGUGUCUUUAUUUGUCACAUGGGCAAUUCAUUUGUAUUGUUUCAAACUGGAUCAAAUUUUGACUAGUAGAAUGCUGUUUUCAUUGCAUGUUCAAGGAGUGUACACGUCCAAAUAAUAUCCAUGUGGACUAAAAGAUUACAUCUGAAAUGACCUUGCUGUUUAGUUGGACAUGAUAAAUUCUUAUCCAGUUCCUGUUCUAGCUUGUGUAUUUUGUCUUGCACAGAUGCAUAUUUGCAGAAGAGUGACCAUUCUUGUAGCACACUUAAAUUUAACAGGUGUAAGCUCAUAUUGCUAGCCUCAGACAACCAUUGGGGCCAACUGAUGGAUAGAAAUUAGAUCCUGCAGCUCAAACAUGUAUACAUACAACAGAUAUUUCUUUCUUUUUUCCUUGAAGAAAUGAAAAUACUAUUAACAACCAUAGUAAAAAUGAUGGUCGCAUUGCCUAUGAUUGGAAAAAACAAAACCAAGUACAAUCCUGGAAUACAAAUACGUUGUUGGUUCUCUUUCUGAUUUUGUCAUCUUCUUCUUUGAUCUAGUUUUCUCUUUUCUGUUAACAUCUUUAACCCGCUCCUUACCGAAAGGUGUGACGAAAAUUUGCUUCAAUUGGAUCCAACUCUUGCUCUGAAAUGACCAUCUCUUCUAUCUCAUUGACCUAACAUAGAUUCUUUAUGCUUUAUGAUAUGGGAAUGUAAUUAUAAAAUGAACUAUGCUUUUGAAUUUUAUUACCAUAUUAUAUUUAUCUGAGUAUCUGACCUAAUUUAUUACCUCCUAUACAACUCAACAUCUUCUCGUCCCUAUUCUCCUUUGUAUUCUCUUAAAAAGGUUAUCAAACACUUGUCUUGUGCCUAACAAGGAGAUAACGGCUAGCAAGACAUUGCUUCACAAAAAAAUUCAAGAGUUCGCGAGGAACAAGGUUAUGAGCUUGUACACAGCAGUAAAUCAAAAAAUUAUUAUUGGCAGUCUGUGUAGCAGUAUUUGUACUUUUGCAUAGGAGAGGAGCUCAUGGCUUCUUCUCAAGAGGAGUUCAUGACUUGAGAUUCUGUGUGUCCAAAAUCAUUCUUCUUGUUGGAUCCAAAAAUAUGAGUUAAGCUUUCAUCAAUAUUUUUCUUUUUUCAGUCCUGUAGCCAUGUGAAAUGAAGCAAGAAACAGUUCUCAGGUGCAGCACAUCAUAGUGAUCUGAUGUUCCUGAUAUGGAGGUGAUAGGGAUGGGAUAGAGUCUUCAAAUUCGGCCUUCACGACGGGGUCCUCCAUGUGCUGUUGGUAGUCAUCUCACCAUUGUUUUUCCUCUUGCAAGCUCAUUUUUCUUUUGUGUUUGCAGAAAAUACAGGUAGGUCUGUACUCUGGAUCACUCUAAUCUUUAGUCCCAGAAUUUUCAAUAUAAUUUUCAGAGUGGGUCCAAAAGAAAGAUUAGAUCCUCUUAACUUCAAUUACUCUUUGCGUCUAGAACAAAGUUUUUAUCCCCAUGUAGAAUGAGGAGGCUAGUACUAAAUCCCACCACCAUCAAAGUGUUUUCAGUGGGAAUCAGCCUCUUAGUUCAUGGGAAGAUCAAGACGACAUUCUUCAGCAGGCUCUCUUAUCACUUGAGCUAUAUGUUGGGUGGGUUUUCUGGUGAAGUGAGGGCAAAGGUAAUUAAUUUGCUUAAUCAUUGAAAUUUUUCUGGUGGGAAGUUAUUGUCAGUAAAAGUGGCGUUUGAAAGAUAUAUCUUCUCAAGGCAUCUCUUGACCAUUUUGAUGGAGGAUCUUGGGGAAGGGGGGCAAGAGUAACAUGGCUCUCAUGUGGCUGAAGAGAGACAAGGUCACCCAUCACUAUCCUCUUAUAUUUGUACAAUAUAUAGGCAGAGAGGUAUACAUGAGAGGCCCACCCAAUCGGGUCCACUUUCAUUUUGGUCUCAUACUAACCUCAAAUCCAUAUAGACUAAAAUUAAUUGGUUAGAGUCUGAAACCGAAGAGAUUCAGAUCUCAAAUUUGAUUUUCAUUGAACACAUUUUGAUUAAAGUAGGGAGUUGUGACAGUGGAAUGUUGUUUUACCCCAGUCUAAUCUAACUAACUUAAAAUUUUUGCAUGUUUUUGAGGAAAAAGGAGAUUUAAGUCAACAAAUAAAGGAACAUUUUUAACACUUGAAAUGAAACUAAAACAAUUAGUUACACAUUUCACACACAAAAAAGAUAUAUAUCUCUUUUCAACACUUUUAUUUUCAUUCCAUCUUGCAAAUGAACUCGUAACACUUGGACAUUUUGUCAAAUAGUUAGGAGCAUGAUUAUCAUUGAUCCUGGUAUAUAAUGCUGUGUGGAAUUGUGAGUAAUUUUGAUGGGCAUGAUGUAUGUGGUGGUGGUGGUGGUGUUGAAGAGAGAAACAGAGAUAGGAGUAAAAGAUCUUACCUGUAGUAGUAGUAGUAGAAGACAUUUGAGGUGAGAAAAUGGGUUGGUUUGUGAUAAUUGUGUGCCUUGGGAACAUGGAGAGGUUACAUAGCUAUCGUGGGGUGAUGGUGUUGUUGUUGUUGGUGUCGAAUGCGGUUAGUAGAGUCGUAUAGCCUAGUUGGAGUCUCUGUAUGUAUGUGUGUAUCAAUUAUCAUCAUGAUCAUGAAUUGGUCGGAUUCAUUCUUCUUAUUAUUAUUAUUCAGUGGUUGUGGUUAAAGAUUUGGAUUCUUGCUUGUCUCUUUAUGAUUGCAACUCUCUAUUCUCUCAAGUUGGAUGGAUGGCGAUG